rnacentral:rRNA from 1 species
UACGGAGGGUGCGAGCGUUGUUCGGAAUCACUGGGCGUAAAGCGCGUGUAGGCGGCCUGCUAAGUCUGAUGUGAAAGCCCGAGGCUCACCCUCGGAAGCGCAUUGGAAACUGGCAGACUGGAGUCCCGGAGAGGAGGGUGGAAUUCCUGGUGUAGCGGUGAAAUGCGUAGAUAUCAGGAGGAACACCGGUGGCGAAGGCGGCCCUCUGGACGGUGACUGACGCUGAGGAGCGAAAGCGUGGGGAGCGAACAGG